UGUCUUUUACCUCCCUGAGAGAUGGGACCACAUGUCAACAAAACACUGAAGCCUCAUCUGAAGUCCCCCAGCCGCCUUGGUCAAGUAUUCAGAAUUCUGAGCCUCUGUAAAAGUUCAUUAUUGAAACUGUAGGGAGUUUACUAUGGAAAAGGCCGGAAAAAAAAUAGCUGUAGAUAUAUUUGUAUUUGGGUAAAAGUAUUCACACUAUGUGUUUGGUAUCUUGUUAUAUCGGGGCUGAAUCACAGUUAUUGUAAGAUGCUUUUUGCCCUUCCCUACAUAAUUUUUAUGAGCAAAAUUUUCCUUUACUUAAAAGGAAGUUUGUUUUGGUUUCUGAGAGUAGUCUUUAAAUACAGAAUGUAUAAUAUCCGGUGAGGGUGAUAGGCCUUCCUAAUCCAAGGAUAUGGAAGUUUAACAGUGUGACUUUGAGGCUAAUUUUACAAGCAUACAAGGCCUACAUGAUCACCCCAAUGUCUUCCUUGGGCACUGAAUUUCUAAUGGGCUUUCCUGGGCAGAACUAUUGGUGGAGAUGAGAGGAUGCUGGGUUUGCCGCUCACAGGAGGCAGAGCCCAGGGAGCUCGGGGCAUGGCAUUCCUAGGACGGGACCUGUGCUCUUUCUUUUGUUCCUCCCUGUGUCCUUUGGCUGUCAUAAUCCCUAGCCAAGAGUCCAGCUGUGAGCCUUCUGAGUGGAUCACCGAAACGUGUAGGUGGUCUUGGGGAUCCCCAAAGGCACCAUGCAGGUUUUGCCUCUGAAUCUCCCUGCUGUCCCCAACCUGAUGCCCUCUUACUCUCCUGAAUUAUUUUCUUGACAUUCUUCACCCCUUACAGGACCUUAGCUGACUGACAGUGGAUGGCCCUCCCCAGUGAGAUUGUAGUGCUGUGAAGGCUUUGUUCAUUGUGCUGCCUCUAGUGGCCGGCGCAGUGCCUGGCCUGUAGCAGGGCUCCAUAGGUAAUUAUUGAAGGAUGAUUGUGUGAAUGAGAGAGCUGGUAUUUAAAAUCAGCACUGAAGGAGGGCAGUGUAGAGUAUUACAGAAGAAGAAAGGAGGGAUCAGGAUAAUGAAGACAGUGGCUUAACUUUGGGAAGAGUUUUGUGCAAGUGUGAAUAGAAUCGAUUUUCCAGUGUAAGGGAAGCAGUUGGAAGACAGGACUGGAAAGAUUGUAUUUCAGGAUUUGCAACACUGAAUAGAUGGGAGGUUUGCGUGUGCACAAAACCUGGGGAGGGCAGGCAGCAGGUGUCCCAGGAGCUUGGAGCAGGCCCCACAGGCAACUGCCCAGGGAUCCAUGAUGUCUAGUAGCCAUUUGGGUUGGUGAGCAGCCCUACAGACUGCAGAGAGCUGUCCUCAGUGAGGCUGAGCAUGGUGGGGUCUGCAUUCCAGGGAUUCACAUUCAUCAGUCAGGUCAUCUCCACCUGGAGGGAGUCAGACCACCUAUUGUGGAUGGCUCUCAGGGCCUGCAAACUGGUUCAGGGACAACGAGUUCACUGUCACUAAUGUUACAAUUCUGUUUUGGUGCAAAGUGAAAGACUGCAGUGCUGGGGACUACUGCUUGAUCAACUUCUGUUAGCUGACAUUGUGAAGUAGUUUACCUAUGCUCUUUUAUUUCAUUCUUAACCAGUCGUUCAACCUUGCCAUUCUGGGAAAGUUGAAAGCUAUAAAUUCCAAUGGCUUUAGGUUGCAGGGCUUGACCUGAAACACAAGUGCAUCUGAUCUCAGAGCCCUUGUUCUUUUCACUGCCUCAGAUUGGGACCUACAAUGACAGUUCAGUCUUAGGAACAGAAGUCUAUGAUGGAAGAUGUCACGAAAAUGGGGCAUCACCUAUGCCGUGAAAGUUGUGGGAAAGGAAACUAGGGAUGGUAAAUCAGGUGGUUGGAAUUGCAGUCUGGCUCAGGAAAAGAGGGAGAGUGAUACUCUACAACGUCUGGCUGAGGGGCACAUGGUAGCAGACAGCGGUAAUUUCUUUUGCUGUGCAGAAGCUCUUUAGUUUAAUUAGAUCCCAUUUGUCAAUUUUGGCUUUUGUUGCCAUUGCUUUUGGUGUUUUAGACAUAAGUUUUUGCCCAUGCCUAUGUCCUGAAUGGUACUGCCUAUGUUUUCUUCUAGGAUUUUUAUGGUUUUAGGUCUUACUCUUAAGUCUUUAAUUCAUCUUGAGUUAAUUUUUGUAUAAUGUGUAAGGAAGGGGUCCAGUUUUAGUUUUCUGCAUAUGGCUAGCCAGUUUUCCAAACACCAUUUAUUAAAUAGGGAACCUUUUCCCCAUUGCUUGUUUUUGUCAGGUUUGUCAAAGAUCAGAUGGUUGUAGAUGUGUGGUGUUAUUUCUGAGGCCUCUGUUCUGUUCCAUUGGUCUAUA
rnacentral:lncRNA from 1 species